rnacentral:rRNA from 1 species
AAGUUUCUCUGGUCCCAUUCGUCGGUGGCCCUGGCUGCGCCUCUCGUCGCGGUCGGGAUUCGCCCGUGCGCUGCGCUCGCUCUACGGAACGUGCAAAAGGGUCAAAACCCUAGCCGCCAGCAGUUCUCGUCAAGCUCGCGCCCCCUCUGCCUCGUCUCCUCCCUGCUCCCUCCUCUCCCAUGACGCCGCCCUCGAGCCCGCGCCGCCUCCACCUCGUCUCCUCCCUUCUCCCUCCUCUACAACGCUGCCGCCCUCGAUGCGCCGUAAGGGACGCCGUUGACACGUCGGGGAUACGCAGCGGCGGAGCUCAGCCGAGCACAGCAGAAACCCACUCCUAACCCUAUUUGCUCGAUUGACAAGAGCAGGGCAACGGAUUGGAUCGAGGGCGCCCUGGCCUCACUGCCGCUGCACCUGGAUUCUCUAGCCGCUGCGUGGAGUCGCCCUGGCCACCGCGUCGAGUCACCUUCGUCGCCGCCGCGAGUCAGCUCCACUGUUGCCGCCAGGAAUCCCUUCCUGACAAGGUAACAUCCUCCAAAUCCCUGCUCUCCAUGGUCCUACUGCCCUGCUUGAUGUGUGUGUGGCUUCUAACUGGAGAGGGUCUCCGCCGGUGUCGGCCUGCACCGGUGAGGUCGGGCGCGACCUGGCUUCCAGGGCGGCUUGACUACAGUCUACAGGUGACCACGUCCCUUUUCUCCCCUUCUCUCGUAUGUAUCUCUCUAUGUUGUUUCUUAUCCUUCCUCACACGAAGAAACACACAGAGCAGUAAAAAAUGGGAGGAUUUGGGAGCUGCUCCGUUUUGGAUAUGGGGGCUGCACGGGCUUGGAGCAGCAAGCCAUGGCAACGAAGGAAAGUUCCUAGGGAUUUGAUUGAUGGAGGCAUCACUAUUUGGAGCUGGAUUAUCCAUUUUUGCAGCAUCAGCAAUGUUGUUUUCGUUUGGAAUGGCCAUUUCUCAAUUUCUAAAUCGGCUAUACUAUACUUCUUGUCAGGUUACAUUAUCUUGCUUGGUUUCAGUCUAUAUGUAGCACAGCAAUAGGUGACAUGGUUGGUUUGUAUGUUACACUAAGGAACACCACCAUAAGGAAAAGGGCAUUGCACUUUGUUUAUAUUUGGUCUGUUCCUAUUCAGUUUGCUGUAGUACUUGCUACACCAUUUGAAGUUUCUUACUGUUUGCUUCUUGCUGUUUCAUUGUAUUCAGUUAUGAUAUAUUUUUCAACUAUACAAGCACUUGGGUAAGUCAGGAAAACUGAACCAACGACAAACAUUUUACUGGUGAUGUUUUUUAUCUGAGAUGUGAAAGAUGCAUCUUGUCCCCUGAUAUAUUGGCUUAAUCUCUUGAUUUUUUCCCUGACAUGCUAAUAUAGAGCCAGAUAUGCAUGAUUCAUCAUACACAUUACAGCCAAUUAUCCAUUGGUUCUUUUAUCCAUAGAGGUGAUUUUGUUUGGACCAUUAGUCUAGGUAGUGACAUUUUGAUCGAUAAGGCACAAGUUUAUUUUCUUUUUCACUCGGGCUACACUAAAGUAAGCAUCACCGUUAGUGAAAAGAAGGCAUACAAAUCAUGAAGUCUUUGCCUUGGCUAUGUGCCUCGUUUAGUUGUCACUUAUUUAUUUCUGGGAAGUUAUUAAAUUCUCAUCGAGCUUUCCUUAUGCUUUACAUUGCUAAAGAAGAAAUUUAAAUACGCAAUAUUUUUGAUAUCCGAGGAGGUGAGAGGAGAUGAAAAAGGGUUGUAAUGUGUAAGGUUGUACUUUGGCGCGUCUCUGGCCAAUGAUGGCUGGAUCCAUCUGACGCUCUUCCAAGCAGAGCAGUGCAGAUUUGCUGACUAGUACAACAUCUAAACCUUGGCUACUCUAGCUUCUUUUUACAUCUCUUAGUAUCAACAAAUAAGUUGGUUACAGUAUAUACUUGAAGAUUGCAUCAGGCACAAAAUGCUUGGCUAAUCAACCGGUUAAUUGAGUUGUGCCUACGAAGGAUCAGUAGAAUAGUUGGUUUCUUCUAAAAUAAAUGAGGAUUAGUUUGGUUGCCAUGUAACGGUAAGGCCAGAAUGGUGGUACUGAAAAGUGGUUCUGUAAUGGUCAUAUGAGUUGUGGAGUUGGAACUUGAUUCUUUUUAAGUUGGAGUGGCUAGGUUGUCUAUAUGUAUUGCAUUAUUUUUCUACGGCGUGCUGUUCUUUCUAAUGAUUUUUUUAAAAGUUUAGUAUUUAAGUUUACGGCAUUAUUCUGCGGCAUACUGUUCUUUCUACAACAUACUGUUAAUAUCUUAUUCUUUUCAACAUUACACGGUUAAAACCUUCUGUAUAAGAUCUUGCGCUUUCAACAUCUGCUCAUGGCGCUGUGCGUAUUCUGCCAUGAACUGUUUACAUUAGAGAGUUGUGGUACCUUCAUUUGUAUGAUUCCUUUUAGCUGAUGUUGGUUGCUCAUACUGACAAAAUGUGUGUUAACAAAUGAUUGCAGAGCAGCAGAGAAACGUGUUUCUACGAAUGUGCCAAAACUGAUGGAUUUAACUACAGGUAUUGCACUAUUAUUCUACAGGUAUCGUUGUAUUGCAUUAUCCAACUGUAAGUCUGUUCUAAACUCUAAGCCCGAUGUAAAUGUGAUGGAAGAUUGGGCCAUUUAAUUUGAACCAAAAAGGGUGAUAUGCUCUCAGUUGUUUGAAUCUGUCCAGACCUGAAAAUUAGAUAUACUUUGAAAGCUUGAUGUAUGAGUAGGAGAUAGUUGAUAAAGGUGUACUCUUGUAGGAGAUUAUUAGUUGAUUACCUGCUUCUAUGUGGUGAACAAAUGAGUAAGCAGUUUAGUUGAUAAAGGUGUAGGCAACACAGCAUUUUUGUUCCAUUUUUUGGUUUGUAAGUCAAGGAUGUUUAGCCUUUGUUGAAUAUGUUAAUUGUGAAACAGUUUUGAUGCAAUUUUUGAACCGUUCAGUCUGUUUUGUUUGUGCAGUUCAUGGUACCAUAUCUGCAGGCUACAUCUUGUGUAGAUUUGGCUACCACAUUAUAUGAUGUUGUUUCACUUUGCUCAGUCAAGGUUUCAGUAAAAAAAUGAAUUGAACAUAUUUUUGUAGACAUACAAAAACGGUCUGCAUUUUUUACAUCACCCUGACAUCCAAUUCAAACUAUAUUUUCUGCCUAGACUGUUGCAUACCUAUGAGAUCAUGGGAUAACUCAGACAUGAGCCGGUGUCCAGUGUGCAGUGAGGGUGAGUAAUGUGGCAUCAGCCUAUUGUGGACCUGUGUAUUAUACUCCUUCCGAUCAAAAUUAAGUGUCGUUGUUUUAGUUCAAAAACCACGACACUUAUUUUGGAUCGGAGGGAGAGCAUUUAAGAGAUUCCUUGCAUACACAUGAUUCAGAAAAGUACAGUGUGGGAUGCCAUUAUAAACUCAUGAAGUCUGAUCCUGGUAGUGACAUGAUUUACUCUGUUUGAUCAAAUAGGUCGAAGCCAAAGCUGUUCUUAUUGAAUCUCAUGAUGCCCCUGAUGCUUGCUGCUGUAAGCAAGAAAAUUGAGUACAAGUUUCAAUGUCAACCUGAGUUUUCAUUGUGGAUGUUUGAGAGUCAACCUGAAUUUUGAAAAGAACUUUUAGGAUGAUUAGCUAUAGUACUGUGACAAAUAAUCAGGAAAGAUAAUUUUGUAGGGUGAUCAUUGUCUUUCAUAAUAAUAUUAUAGCCGUCGGCCAAACAAUGAAGGUUGCACUACAACUACUCGACUACAAGUUUUAUGUGGAGUUUCUCUGUACAGCUUGCACGAACUCAGUGAGAUCAGGAAUCAUAAUUGCUCACAUUUUUUUCUCCUGAAACGGAUGUGUCAUCCCUGCAUUUUUUUUCUCGGAAUCAAGGAUGUUUCAAACAUUGUGUGUGAGCUCACCUUCAAAAUGUGGCAACAGACCAUGCCCAUAUAUGAUCAAACAAACCAAACAGACACGUGUAUACUGAACUGUCUUUAGAGACUUAAAUUUCCAUAGAAUUGUUUGC